rnacentral:lncRNA from 1 species
AUCCUCAAUGUCUUUGGUUAACUCUUAAUAGAUUCGUACAUUCCAUUUCAUUUCAUGUACUUUAAUUCUUCAUCUCCAUUAUUCAUCUUCUUCAUCUCUUUCUUCUUUUCUUUUUUGAUCAAUGAGUUAAAGGUUGAUAAGUUAGCAUUGAUUAUGGAGGUUUAAUCUUCCUUGAUUCAAAUCUAAUUCAUCUUGAUCAAUUGAUCAAGUGAAUGGCUUUGCAUUAAGGAUAGAUUGCUUCCUAAAUCAUGCAAAGGACUUAAACCAAUACAAGAUC